rnacentral:lncRNA from 1 species
UUGAUUUAUCUUUGUCAUAUUUUUUUGUAGAAGGCUUUUUAAAAAACUUAAGUCGGAAGCUUAAUUUUUCAAAUUGUUUCUCAUCUGAGCUUUUUUAUAAAGGCGACUUUACGAUAUCGGCUUUCACGUUGCUGAGUGUCGUGCAGUGGCCAAGAAUUGCCUAUAUGCACUUCAUAUGAACACUUGUGGAUAGCUAUUUCAUUGAAAAUCAUACCACAUCUCCUUAUUUUUAUUCAAAC